UACGGAGGGUGCAAGCGUUAAUCGGAAUUACUGGGCGUAAAGCGUGCGCAGGCGGUUUGUUAAGUCUGUUGUGAAAUCCCCGAGCUUAACUUGGGAAUUGCGCUCGAAACUACGACGCUGGAGUAUGGCAGAGGAAGGUGGAAUUCCACGUGUAGCGGUGAAAUGCGUAGAGAUGUGGAGGAACACCGAUGGCGAAGGCAGCCUUCUGGGCCAAUACUGACGCUCAUGCACGAAAGCGUGGGGAGCAAACAGG
rnacentral:rRNA from 1 species